rnacentral:rRNA from 1 species
GACGAACGCUGGCGGCGUGCUUAACACAUGCAAGUCGAACGGAAAGGCUCCAGCUUGCUGGAGUACUCGAGUGGCGAACGGGUGAGUAACACGUGGGCAAUCUGCCCUGCACUCUGGGAUAAGCCUGGGAAACUGGGUCUAAUACUGGAUAUGACCUUUCUCCUUAUGGGGUUUGGUGGAAAGUUUUUCGGUGUAGGAUGAGCCCGCGGCCUAUCAGCUUGUUGGUGGGGUGAUGGCCUACCAAGGCGACGACGGGUAGCCGGCCUGAGAGGGUGAUCGGCCACAUUGGGACUGAGAUACGGCCCAGACUCCUACGGGAGGCAGCAGUGGGGAAUAUUGCACAAUGGGCGGAAGCCUGAUGCAGCGACGCCGCGUGAGGGAUGACGGCCUUCGGGUUGUAAACCUCUUUCAGCAGGGACGAAGCGUAAGUGACGGUACCUGCAGAAGAAGCACCGGCUAACUACGUG